rnacentral:tRNA from 1 species
GCGCCCGUGGCGGAAUUGGUAGACGCGCAAGGUUGAGGGCCUUGUGGGGAGAUUUCCCCGUGAUGGUUCGAGUCCAUUCGGGCGCA